GGAUAACUGUGGUAAUUCUGGAGCUAAUACAUGCAACAAUGCUCAGUUUCGGCUGGGUGCAGUUAUUAGUACGAACCAAUCGCUUUCGGGCGUUGUUUGUUGACUCUGAAUACCCUGUUUAUCGGCGGUUUAUCCGCUGAAGUCUGGAAUUUUGUGUCUGCCCUAUCAACUAGAUGAUAGUCUAUUAGUCUAUCAUGGUUGUAACGGGUAACGGAGAAUAAGGGUUCGACUCCGGAGAGGGAGCCUUAGAAACGGCUACCACAUCCAAGGAAGGCAGCAGGCGCGUAACUUAUCCACUACUCUCUGUGAGAUAGGAACAUCGAAUAAAAAGACUCAUCUUUCUAGAUGGGUUAUUUCAAUGAGUUGAACUUAAACAGUUCUUCGAGGACCCAGUGGAGGGCAAGUCUGGUGCCAGCAGCCGCGGUAAUUCCAGCUCCACUAAUGUAAAUCUACAUUGUUGCGGUUAAAAAGCUCGUAGUUGAAAUCGAGUCAUGCAGCUUUGAAACGGCUUUGCCGAUAUUCUUAGCGGUGACUAUUUUGCCAGUACUUCGGCAGGUUACUUCGGUGCCUGUCGUGUCUGGCGAGUUUACUUUGAAUAAAUUAAAGUGCUCAAGACAGGCGUAUGCCUGAAUAUCUUAGCUAGGAAUAAUAAAACAGGACUACGGUUCUAUUUAUUGGUUCAGAAUUCGUGGUAAUGAUUAAUAGGGACAGUUCGGGGGCAUUCGUAUUUCUGCGCGAGAGGUGAAAUUCGGUGACCGCAGGAAGACGUCCUGAAGCGAAAGCUAUUGCCAAGUCUGUCUUCUUUAAUCAAGAACGAAAGUCAGAGGUUCGAAGGCG
rnacentral:rRNA from 1 species